CGUCUCCUGUCCGUGCGGAGGUGGGGGGCGCCUGGAGUGUGUGGCGCUCCGGCUCAGUCCCAGUGCCCGGUGCUUCACCUGAGCGGAGGAGAGAGUAUCUGUUGUGCGGGGGUGAGCUGGUCAGGCUGAAAUGACAGUAGAGAGAUUUCUUUUCUUCUUUUCCGGAGGAGAACGGGACAGAAAGGCUGAGCUACAGCGCGGGACAUUGGCUGCUCUCUCCCCGCAGUAGCUAAGAGCACGGGCCGGAGCUCCCAGACGCACUUGGCCAUGCUGCAGGCGCCCCCCCCCAGGUGGCUCCGUCCCACAGGAUGUGACAUCACGCCUUGCCGCCCCCCGGACAGCUCAACCCCAGCGGCUGGUGCGCUCUCAAGAGAUGGAGUCCCGCGCGUCUCACAGGUUUCGCACCACCGAGUUGCUCGGAGGGUGGCUUGCGCCGGGCGGCGGUUAGCCUCCUCCGGACCUGUGAUGUCAGGUUGGAGCAGGGGUCCUCUAGGGGGCCGGCGCCGGCCCGCGGACGGGGGGAGCCUGAGGAACGCGGAUCUGAGGCAGGCCGCGGUGUGGCCCUCCUGGAGCAGUGCCUUUAGAUGA
rnacentral:lncRNA from 1 species